rnacentral:rRNA from 1 species
UACGUAGGGUGCAAGCGUUGUUCGGAAUCAUUGGGCGUAAAGCGCGUGUAGGUGGCUAGUUAAGUUGGGUGUGAAAUCCCCGGGCUCAACCCAGGAAGUGCACUCAAAACUGGCUGGCUAGAAGAUAGUAGAGGAUGGUGGAAUUCCAAGUGUAGAGGUGAAAUUCGUAGAUAUUUGGAGGAAUACCGGCGGCGAAGGCGGCCAUCUGGGCUAUUCUUGACACUGAGACGCGAAAGCGUGGGUAGCAAACAGG